rnacentral:rRNA from 1 species
UACGUAGGUGGCAAGCGUUGUCCGGAAUUAUUGGGCGUAAAGCGCGCGCAGGCGGUCCUUUAAGUCUGAUGUGAAAGCCCACGGCUCAACCGUGGAGGGUCAUUGGAAACUGGGGGACUUGAGUACAGAAGAGAAGAGUGGAAUUCCACGUGUAGCGGUGAAAUGCGUAGAGAUGUGGAGGAACACCAGUGGCGAAGGCGACUCUUUGGUCUGUAACUGACACUGAGGCGCGAAAGCGUGGGGAGCGAACAGG